rnacentral:rRNA from 1 species
ACGUAGGGGGCAAGCGUUGUCCGGAAUUACUGGGCGUAAGGGGGCGUUAGGCGGUUUAUAAAGUAGAUGGGAAAACCCCCGGCCUAAAUUUGGGGUGGGCUUUAAAACUGUUAAACUAGAGUGCAGGAGAGGAAAGCGGAAUUCCUAGUGUAGCGGUGAAAUGCGUAGAUAUUAGGAGGAACACCAGUGGCGAAGGCGGCUUUCUGGACUGUAACUGACGCUGAGGCACGAAAGCGUGGGGAUCAAACAG